GACGUAGGGCGCGAGCGUUGUCCGGAUUUAUUGGGCGUAAAGAGCUCGUAGGCGGUCUGUCGCGUCGAUCGUGAAAACUUGGGGCUUAACCCUGAGCUUGCGGUCGAUACGGGCAUGACUGGAGUUCGGCAGGGGAGACUGGAAUUCCUGGUGUAGCGGUGAAAUGCGCAGAUAUCAGGAGGAACACCGGUGGCGAAGGCGGGUCUCUGGAACGCAACUGACGCUGAGACGCGAAAGCGUGGGGAGCAAACAGG
rnacentral:rRNA from 1 species